rnacentral:rRNA from 1 species
UGGGGAAUAUUGCACAAUGGGCGAAAGCCUGAUGCAGCGACGCCGCGUGAGGGAUGACGGCCUUCGGGUUGUAAACCUCUUUCAGCAGGGACGAAGCGCAAGUGACGGUACCUGCAGAAGAAGCACCGGCUAACUACGUGCCAGCAGCCGCGGUAAUACGUAGGGUGCAAGCGUUGUCCGGAAUUACUGGGCGUAAAGAGUUCGUAGGCGGUUUGUCGCGUCGUUUGUGAAAACCAGCAGCUCAACUGCUGGCUUGCAGGCGAUACGGGCAGACUUGAGUACUGCAGGGGAGACUGGAAUUCCAGGUGUAGCGGUGAAAUGCGCAGAUAUCAGGAGGAACACCGGUGGCGAAGGCGGGUCUCUGGGCAGUAACUGACGCUGAGGAACGAAAGCGUGGGUAGCGAACAGG